rnacentral:rRNA from 1 species
UGGGGAAUCUUGCGCAAUGGCCGAAAGGCUGACGCAGCGACGCCGCGUGUGGGAUGACGCCUUUCGGGGUGUAAACCACUGUUGCCCGGGACGAAACCUGGUUUUCGAGCCAGUUGACGGUACCGGGUGAGGAAGCACCGGCUAACUCCGUGCCAGCAGCCGCGGUAAUACGGAGGGUGCGAGCGUUGUCCGGAAUCACUGGGCGUAAAGGGCGCGUAGGCGGCUGGGGUAGUCGGUGGUGAAAGCUCGUGGCUCAACUGCGAGUCGGCCAUCGAUACUCCUCGGCUCGAGCACUGUAGAGGCAGGUGGAAUUCCGGGUGUAGCGGUGGAAUGCGUAGAGAUCCGGAAGAACACCGGUGGCGAAGGCGGCCUGCUGGGCAGUAGCUGACGCUGAGGCGCGACAGCGUGGGGAGCAAACA